rnacentral:rRNA from 1 species
ACCAAGCCUUUGAUGCCUACCGGGCGUGCGAGCGUGGCCCGGCACACUGGGACUGAGACACUGCCCAGACUCCUACGGGAGGCUGCAGUCGAGAAUCUUCGGCAAUGGGCGCAAGCCUGACCGAGCGACGCCGCGUGGAGGAUGAAGGCCUUCGGGUUGUAAACUCCUGUCGAGGGGGAGGAAGGCGUAAGCUUGACCUAUCCCUGGAGGAAGCACGGGCUAAGUCCGUGCCAGCAGCCGCGGUAAGACGAACCGUGCGAACGUUAUUCGGAAUCACUGGGCUUAAAGCGCGUGUAGGCGGAUGGGGACGUCGGUUGUUGAAAGCCCCCGGCUCAACCGGGGAACUGGCGCCGAAACGCCCUGUCUUGAGGAGCGUAGGGGGACCUGGAACUUCCGGUGGAGCGGUGAAAUGCGUUGAGAUCGGAAGGAACGCCCGUGGCGAAAGCGAGGUCCUGGACGUUAUCUGACGCUGAGACGCGAAAGCUAGGGGAGCGAACGGGAUUAGAUACCCCGGUAGUCCUAGCUGUAAACGAUGGGCACUGGGUAGGGGGCUCGCCGAUGGGCUCUCUGCCGUAGGGAAACCGUGAAGUGCCCCGCCUGGGGAGUAUGGUCGCAAGGCUG